rnacentral:rRNA from 1 species
GACGAACGCUGGCGGCGUGCUUAACACAUGCAAGUCGAACGGAAAGGCCCUGCUUUUGUGGGGUGCUCGAGUGGCGAACGGGUGAGUAACACGUGAGUAACCUGCCCUUGACUUUGGGAUAACUUCAGGAAACUGGGGCUAAUACCGGAUCGGAGCUCCUGCUGCAUGGUGGGGGUUGGAACGUUUCGGCGGUUGGGGAUGGACUCGCGGCUUAUCAGCUUGUUGGUGGGGUAGUGGCUUACCAAGGCUUUGACGGGUAGCCGGCCUGAGAGGGUGACCGGCCACAUUGGGACUGAGAUACGGCCCAGACUCCUACGGGAGGCAGCAGUGGGGAAUAUUGCACAAUGGGCGGAAGCCUGAUGCAGCAACGCCGCGUGCGGGAUGACGGCCUUCGGGUUGUAAACCGCUGUCGCCUGUGACGAAGCGUGAGUGACGGUAAUGGGUAAAGAAGCACCGGCUAACUACGUG